rnacentral:tRNA from 1 species
GGUGAGGUGUCUGAGUGGCUGAAGGAGCACGCCUGGAAAGUGUGUGUAGGUUUAUACCCUACCGAGGGUUCGAAUCCCUCCCUCACCGCCA